GGAUUAGAUACCCUGGUAGUCCACGCCGUAAACGUUGGGCACUAGGUGUGGGUCUCAACCAACGAGAUCCGUGCCGCAGCUAACGCAUUAAGUGCCCCGCCUGGGGAGUACGGCCGCAAGGCUAAAACUCAAAGGAAUUGACGGGGGCCCGCACAAGCGGCGGAGCAUGUUGCUUAAUUCGAGGCAACGCGAAGAACCUUACCUGGGUUUGACAUUCUGGGAAAAGCCGUAGAGAUACGGUGUCCGAAAGGGUCCAGAACAGGUGGUGCAUGGCUGUCGUCAGCUCGUGCCG
rnacentral:rRNA from 1 species